rnacentral:rRNA from 1 species
UACGUAGGGUGCGAGCGUUGUCCGGAAUUACUGGGCGUAAAGGGCUCGUAGGUGGUUUGUCGCGUUGUUCGUGAAAACUCACAGCUUAACUGUGGGCGUGCGGGCGAUACGGGCAGACUGGAGUACUGCAGGGGAGACUGGAAUUCCUGGUGUAGCGGUGGAAUGCGCAGAUAUCAGGAGGAACACCGGUGGCGAAGGCGGUUCUCUGGGCCUGUACUGACGCUGAGGAGCGAAAGCGUGGGGAGCGAACAGG